AUGGUGCUAGAAUACACUGAGAAGGGAAAUAGCUGAGCAUGACGAGAGGCCUUGCUUUUCUGAUGGCAGAACAUGCUGAGCUGUGCUGUGUGUGGAAAGGCCUGUCUGCUGAAUAUUGUCCCCUUUUUUGCUGCUUUGUCUACCAGUAUUUUGUGGGUUUGGUUCUGCACUUGGUUGGCCUAUGCGGCGCUGUAGCCUGAUUAUAUAACAUGGUAGCAUGCAGAGUUUGAGGAGAAGUGUUUGCUUGCCAAUGGGCUAAUUUCUGUAUCUGGUUCUUCAACUGGCUGCUCCCUGUACUACCUGUAGUAAAAAUAGAAAUACAUCGUUUGAUUUACCAGAAAUGAAUGUUAUGGAAUGCCAGCUCUUCUCCUGUCUAGGAAGAGCACAGUUCUGCAGCUGCUAUCAGAAUUUCCUCUUCCAGAACCAGGAGGAAAUGUAGGACCCCACUGAUUGCCUUUGAAUUCAGCAGUUCGUUCUGUUUCCUUUCAGAGCGCACAACAACCUGAGCGUGUGAAUCAAGUGACACGGCUUUUCAGGCUGGUGUGAACUGUGUUGUGCACUGAGCCUUUGUCCCUUUGUAAUUAGGACGUUGUCCAUGUCUGCAGGACUGCAGAAAAUCCUUUGUGCUAAUCACUACCCCAAUUUGCAGAACGUGGCAAAUGGAAAAUGAUCCAACUGCUUCAGGUGCACAUUUCCUUAAAAUUGUGGAUAGUUUUGGACUGCGAGUCUGUAAGCAGAAUGGAGCUCUUAAAGCUGUCCAAGAUUGUUUCUGCACCAUUUAGUUCUAUCUGUCUGAUGCACACAGGAGCUGAGGGCUGCAGUGCUUGAACUGGUGGAACUUGUUUAAGUGAACUGGGAUGAGCAAGUUUCAGAACUGAGUCAGAAUGCAGUAAAAAAUGGAUACUCUCACAAGUAUUAAGAUACUGCCUUGCUAUUUCUGCACUGAAUUUGUUUUGAUUUUAUGUGGCUGUGAUCUGAAAAGUGCUUGGAAUGCAGACACCAAGGCAUUGUUGUGUCAUUGACUGUCACACGUUACAGAUCCUGAGAUAUCCUGGAAUCUAAAACUCAGAACUGGUUUAAGUCUACUGCUUGAAUCCAAUCACAGCAUCUGUGUUCAGUGUUCUUUUCCCUGCUCCACAUCACUUCAUUUGGGAAAUACUUAAGGAAAUUGACUAUGUGCCAUAACUGCUGUUAGAACAAAGUAUUUCUGGUGUGCUGUUGGGCAUUUUGUAGCUCUUGUGAGCAGUUUCCCUUCCAGCAUUGCCCUCAGCCAAGCACGUGUGAAUUUUUACCAUUACAUUUGUUCAAGCUGUUCUUAAAGCAGAGUUUGUAAUCUCUGUUCCUACGCUUUGAAAGGAAAGAGAUGUCAAUAUCAUCCAAAUAAUUUAAUAGUUCCUUUUGAGCUAGUUGUUGAAGGUUCAUUCUCAAUCCUCUCUUAUUUUAGUGAAGAAAAUAACUUUUUUAUUGCAGAGAGGAAAAGACACUGUUCCAAAAUGGCUUUCCCCUAGCAGCACGCUGCUACUUGACCAACUGCUGCAGGUAAAAGGGCUGCUUCUAUUCAGAUUGAUGUACAAAAUGCUGUUGCAUCAGCUCAAAGCAUUGAUGGAGUGCUUAGAAAAUAUGCGGUGUUUAAACAAGUUAAACUGCUCCACACCUGAUGUCCUUGAAGAAAAGGUUAGCAUUGCCUUGUGCUGAAAAUUCUCCAAUAGUCACGUAGUACUAGUUAAUGGUUAUAGAAAUGAUUGCAGUUUUAAUAACUACACAGUCUUCAAGCAGCUUGCAUUUGGAUGUUCUUAAUUGUGCUGUGUAAUUAAAAGUGAUCUGUACACAAAAGCUGUUUCUCCAAGGAAGCUGAACGUACUGAGUGUGCCUUUGGGCUGUAUCUACGCAGUCUCACAUACAAAAUGCUCGUGGAACAUUUACUGUAACCAUAGGUGCUGUAACUGUUCUUCACAGCUCAGGUGUUUGACCUUCCUUCUGGUGAAGGGAAUAAAUACUGCUGGUCUCUAUUUGUGCUUCCAGGCACCUUGAAGUUGUUAGGAAAAGAAUAACUGUCUGCAGUUCUUCUCGGUGAUGUAAGUAACAGCUUGAAUGUUGCUGCCCACUAGGCAGACCCAAAGAAGCAGAUGACAGUUAAACUCCUGUGAAAUCACCCUUGGCUCAUGCAAGGUUAUUCUGGUGCUGUUCAGUGGCAAAGUAAAUACCCAGUAAGUACACGCACUCGAAGAAGCCUAAGUAUGUUCUGGAGUCUUUCCUGGACCACUGGCAUCCUCUCAGAAAGGGAGUGAUAACACAUUUCUUCAGAGGCUGCUGACAAGUGGUGACUCUCCGGGGUCCAUUUUGGCACCUUCAACACCUUUGUCAGUGACAGAGAGAAUGGACCUAGAGAGCACCUUCAGAAAGCUUGCAGGCAGCCCCGUGCUGAGAGGUGCGGUGGAUCAAACAGGAGGUAGGGAUGUCUCAUCCUGGUGGCAUUCAGGGCCGGGUUGGAUGAGGCCCCGGACAGUUUGAUCUGGUGAGUUGCAGCUCUGCAACUUGGAGCUUGAUGGUCUUUAAGGUCCCUUCCAACUCAAGCCGUUCUAUGAUUCUCUGGAACUGUGCUUGUGCUCCUUAUCUCUCAAUUGUCUGACCUGUGUGAGAGGUUGGGGUAGCGGGGUUGGGGUGGGAAUUGGGGGUGCGAGGGAGAUUCUUGCUGCAGAUACUGAGAAGUUGCUGUGUAUUUGCAGCCAAUGGCUGCUGCUGGCCUCUGGGUGCCACUGUUUCUCUGAAGAACAGCUGUGCUGAUGGUACACCACCAUGUGCUGUGCAUGCCGUGCAACUGAAUAAUUAAGAGGGGACAGAGGUGUAACUUGUGCUCUAGUGAAAAUCUCAUCUGCUGACAGGCUUUUGUACUUGAAUGCAGAACCUGUUGCCACAGAGGGACCAGUUGCUGAAGCGUGGUGACUCUUUCUGUUUACUCCUUGCAGUAUUUAGCCCUGAUGCUAACUAUUUAAAAUAGAAAAUCUGAAAUGGUGGCUAACUAUUGGCUUGAUUGGUGCAUAUCAGAAGACUAUCAUGGUGAUAGUGGCUCUGUGAGAUGACUUGGAAGCUGUUUCUUCAGUACAGGUCUUGUUCUUGCAGCUGGGGCACCUUGAUGAAGACUGUGCAACAGAACUUGCUGUGUUUCACAACCAGAGCAGAGAGAGUAUAUUGGCAUUAAUAUCAGAGGUGGAAUCGUGACCAGAUGUCACAGCCUAUCUCUUGCUUCAAUCCAGGAAGGUUCGUGGCAAGCGCAUCCACUUAAGGAUUCCAUCACAAACGACGUGCAGUACAACACAGCCAGCAAGCCAGGGAAGAAUCUCAACUGAACACUUCUUUUCAGUCUGAAAAGGCUGUGACAUCUGAAGAUGUGCCAGGUUGCAGCCAUGUGCCACAUGCAUUUGGAUCCAUGGAAUUUGCUGAUGGAACUUCAUUGUUUGAAGAAUCUCCACUAGAAGAGUUUGUUCUAAAUGCUCACAGAACAAAGCAGUACCUGGCAGCAUUCAAGGUGUGAUACUCAGCUGGGCGAUAUGGAAUUCACACUGUCAGCUCCAGUGACAGGAAAAGUGGCAUCUAUGAAGCAUGCAAAGAAAUGUGGAUGCAGAGUCAGCAUGAAGAAAUGCGCUGCCCUUUGCACUUCCUGCUCCAAAGGCCUCCUUUCCAAAGAGUGAGACACAGAAGCAAGUGCAAGGCAAACCCCUCCAGGCACCUCCUUCCACAGAGAGCCAGUGCACGACAGUCAUCGCAGUUAAGAAGCCCAAAACACCAGCAAAUACGUAUGAACUGACAGCAGCUGAGGUUCUUCCUGAGAGGAGUUGACCUCCUCCUCUCCAGAGGCUCCCAGUACCAACACUGCGAUUCUCUCUGCAGAGGCUAGCCUCACUUCCAGUGCCCUGUCCUCUCCACCUCCCCCUGUGCAAGUCAUGCUGUUUACAGCAGCAGUCUCCAUCUGCAGCUCACUCUCUCACACCAAGUUCUGCUCGCAGGGAACGGUGUGGGGGGUUGCUCUCACCCCAGCACAGAUGAACUCACUUUCUCUUUAACCCUUUUUCCUUUGUCGUACCCUCAGUUACACUUCCACAUACCCUCCAUUCUACUUCUGUAUACCAGUAACAAUUGCCUUUCUUAUGCCAUCAAAACAGUUUGUCCCAUUCCUUUCACAAUCCACAAAUCAAACCGUACAGUUCUUCAGCUUCCACAAACACCCAGCACUUGGUCUCUCAUGAUUAGGGUACUCCAUUAUAAAACUGGUCCCGUUAUUCCAUUUAUGUUCCUAGUUCCUUAUUUGAUAUUCCCCCCGGCCCUCCUGCAGCAUCCUUCCAAUGUGCCAACAUACACCUGAGAGGUGUUUGUUUGUUUGUUCUGUUGGUAUUUCUUUCCCUUGCGAUCCUCCCAUAGCGCUAUUUUGUUGUUUUAUUAGUUUAUUAACGUUUCCACUAAUUACUCCUUUUACCCUGAAGUUUCCCCAAAACAAUCCCCAAAACUUGUUCCACCACUGUUGUCCACACUCCAGACACGAGUAACACCAAUCCCCUUGCUGUAUCUCUUUACAAGCUGAGCAGAGUAUAACAUAAUCUGGAUAAAAUAAUAUGUGAAAUAUACACCUUUAUUCCGGUCGGUCACUGUAAUUUAUGACAUAUAGGUUCCCAUAUUCAUCCCACUCCAAAAAGUUCAUUUGCAUUUACACUAAAACCAUUCAGAUUCCCUUUUUCCCAAUUUAUCAAAAAGAAGAAUUUUACUUCUUUAUUGGUGAGCGAGAGGGAUGGGAAUGUAACAAAUGAGCCUUGACAUAAGGCACUUGAUUAAGAAUUGAUUUUUUUAAUGACAGAUUCAAUUUCGUUUUGAAAACCAAAACAAAACAUUUGGCAAUCAAAGAAAAGCUCUAUAAAUACUGGUUAAUAAGCUUUAAUAUCAUACCAAAAUACUUUUUCACGUCAGUUAACGUAGUUAAUAAGGUAUUUGUGGGUUUUGUUUAUAUACAUACAAUAUAUGGCUUUAUUUCACAAAAACAACAACAACGAACACCAAAGCAUUGCUAACAGCAACAAUUAGUCACCAAGAUUCCCUUUUGAGCCCUUUUCACAUUAACCAGAGCAGGGGUUGGCGUUAGACUUGGGUACAUCAAGGAUUUCGGUUCAGGAUAGGGUUCUGAGAAAGAAACAGUCCUGCAAGAGGACUCGAGGUCGGGAACGGACUCCAUCAGGCAUGCAGACCCCCGGCCGCGUGCCACUGCCAGACCCUCGCCCCGAGUCCAACAGGAGCACCCCAACAAACAGCCCCGUGCCACCCUCAGCUCCGCGAGACCCCCACCUCCCCCAGCCCCCAGCCACAAGCGGCCCCCAAAACGCGCCCAGGCCUUCAGGGCUCCAGAGGGACGCCCCAAAUGCCCGCGGGACCCCGCAAGUCCCCACGAUCCACAGCCCAGCCCCGCAAGGAGCCCCAUUCCGCAUCCCGAGCCCCGGAGCCGCUCCCGGCCC